GAUGGACGCUGGCGGCGUGCCUAAUACAUGCAAGUCGAGCGAACAGACGAGGAGCUUGCUCCUCUGACGUUAGCGGCGGACGGGUGAGUAACACGUGGAUAACCUACCUAUAAGACUGGGAUAACUUCGGGAAACCGGAGCUAAUACCGGAUAAUAUAUUGAACCGCAUGGUUCAAUAGUGAAAGACGGUUUUGCUGUCACUUAUAGAUGGAUCCGCGCCGCAUUAGCUAGUUGGUAAGGUAACGGCUUACCAAGGCAACGAUGCGUAGCCGACCUGAGAGGGGGAUCGGCCAAACUGGAACUGAGACACGGUCCAGACUCCUACGGGAGGCAGCCGUAGGGAAUCUUCCGGAAUGGGCGAAAGCCUGACGGAGCAACGCCGCGUGAGUGAUGAAGGUUUUCGGAUCGUAAAACUCUGUUAUUAGGGAAGAACAAAUGUGUAAGUAACUAUGCACGUCUUGACGGUACCUAAUCAGAAAGCCACGGCUAACUACGUG
rnacentral:rRNA from 1 species